rnacentral:lncRNA from 1 species
GGGUACUAAGGGUCAGGAGCGAGCUUGAAUUUAUGUAAUAAUGCCUCACGCCUAAGAGUUCAAACCACUUAAGCAAAAGACCUGGGUUUUCUACUGUUUGGGGGAACGGAGAUCACUCUAGUGAGCACAUCACUACACUUUGGCUCGUAAUUUCAGCCUCCCCUAAAAUAGCAAAGGCGCAAAUUGGACCUUUUCCCUCUCUCCUUGCCAAUUUCCAUUCUCCAACGGAAGCAGGGGCAUUUUCUGAAAAGGUGCAGAGCACCCUCAAGCCAAGUGUCCCGAAAGGUUCUAUUCCACUGCAGGACCAGCACUGUAAGGAUUGGCAAGGGAAGAAGGAAUGUCCCUUUAGAACAAGGUCCCAGGACUCAGGACUCUGACUAUUCCCAUCUGAUUGAUCAGGGCCAGAGUGCUGCCAAACUCUCAGUGCCUCCUCGCAGGGCAGAGCCCAGUCCUUCCUGCUUUCUGUAACAGUCACAUGGUGCGGAACCAUUAGGCAAUCAGCAGCUGGACUUGUCCUGAGCCUGUGUAACAGGGGUAACAGCAGGGUCCCCUGUUCAAAUUGAAACAGAAACAGUGGAAACUUAAUGUCAAAUAAAGUGCUGGCGAAUAACUGAA